rnacentral:rRNA from 1 species
CAACAGGGAUGCCCUAGUAACGGCGAGUGAAGCGGCAACAGCUCAAAUUUGAAAUCUGGCUUCGGCCCGAGUUGUAAUUUGUAGAGGAAGCUUUAGGCGCGGCACCUUCUGAGUCCCCUGGAACGGGGCGCCAUAGAGGGUGAGAGCCCCGUAUAGUUGGAUGCCUAGCCUGUGUAAAGCUCCUUCGACGAGUCGAGUAGUUUGGGAAUGCUGCUCAAAAUGGGAGGUAAAUUUCUUCUAAAGCUAAAUACCGGCCAGAGACCGAUAGCGCACAAGUAGAGUGAUCGAAAGAUGAAAAGCACUUUGAAAAGAGGGUUAAAUAGCACGUGAAAUUGUUGAAAGGGAAGCGCUUGUGACCAGACUUGCGCCGGGCGGAUCAUCCGGUGUUCUCACCGGUGCACUCCGCCCGGCUCAGGCCAGCAUCGGUUCUCGCGGGGGGAUAAAGGUCCUGGGAACGUAGCUCCUCCGGGAGUGUUAUAGCCCAGGGCGUAAUGCCCUCGCGGGGACCGAGGUUCGCGCAUCUGCAAGGAUGCUGGCGUAAUGGUCAUCAGCGACCCGUCUUGAAACACGGACCAAGGAGUCAAGGUUUUGCGCGAGUGUUUGGGUGUAAAACCCGCACGCGUAAUGAAAGUGAACGUAGGUGAGAGCUUCGGCGCAUCAUCGACCGAUCCUGAUGUAUUCGGAUGGAUUUGAGUAAGAGCGUUAAGCCUUGGACCCGAAAGAUGGUGAACUAUGCUUGGAUAGGGUGAAGCCAGAGGAAACUCUGGUGGAGGCUCGCAGCGGUUCUGACGUGCAAAUCGAUCGUCAAAUCUGAGCAUGGGGGCGAAAGACUAAUCGAACCAUCUAGUAGCUGGUUACCGCCGAAGUUUCCCUCAGGAUAGCAGUGUUGAUCUCAGUUUUAUGAGGUAAAGCGAAUGAUUAGGGACUCGGGGGCGCUUUUUAGCCUUCAUCCAUUCUCAAACUUUAAAUAUGUAAGAAGCCCUUGUUACUUAAUUGAACGUGGGCAUUCGAAUGUACCAACACUAGUGGGCCAUUUUUGGUAAGCAGAACUGGCGAUGCGGGAUGAACCGAACGCGGGGUUAAGGUGCCGGAGUGGACGCUCAUCAGACACCACAAAAGGCGUUAGUACAUCUUGACAGCAGGACGGUGGCCAUGGAAGUCGGAAUCCGCUAAGGACUGUGUAACAACUCACCUGCCGAAUGUACUAGCCCUGAAAAUGGAUGGCGCUCAAGCGUCCCACCCAUACCCCGCCCUCAGGGUAGAAACGAUGCCCUGAGGAGUAGGCGGCCGUGGAGGUCAGUGACGAAGCCUAGGGCGGAGCCC